rnacentral:rRNA from 1 species
GACGAACCGUGCGAACGUUAUUCGGAAUCACUGGGCUUAAAGCGCGUGUAGGCGGCUCGGUACGUCUUUCGCUGAAAUCCCCCGGCUCAACCGGGGAAGGGGCGAGGAUACGGCCGGGCUGGAGGGGGGUAGGGGAAUCGGGAACUUCCGGUGGAGCGGUGAAAUGCGUUGAGAUCGGAAGGAACGCCCGUGGCGAAAGCGCGGUUCUGGACCCCACCUGACGCUGAGACGCGAAAGCCAGGGGAGCGAACGGG